rnacentral:lncRNA from 1 species
AAUAGGAACCCUAAUCAGACUGCAUCAGUCUAUAUUGUUACAAACUGCAAUUAAUCUGCUCAGACUGAAAAGCCAUACCAGUUUUUGACUGAAAGGCAUGUCAUUAAGUUUCUGAGUUGUUUACAUGUAAUGCAACAUGACAGGAAUUUGUGCAGAGAUGAGAGAAAAUGAGCUAUUUGAAAUUAACUGUUUGGAAUCCUGUCUAUAGCUGUUUGCAGUCUGCAGUGAAUUGGCAGGGCUGAUUACAGGGAUUUGUGUGGGUUUUGUGAGAGGGUUUCUCAUACUGAGUUGUUCUUUAAGAAAUGCUUGGUAAAAACUCGCUGCGCCUUUGGGUGUUCAGGUCUAGGAAGAGAGGAAGUAUGCACUAACACCCUUGGUUUAUAGCAAGAGUAAGUAGUAAAACUAAAAUAAGGAAAUAUAUGGAAUAUAUAAACCAGGAGAUCACACAAAUAACAUGAUUUGUACCUUAUAUGUGAAGCGUGGCACUUACCUCCCCCAGUUCCCUUACAACAGGACACCGAGGCAGCCGAUGGAGCCUGCAGAAUGGUUUGGCAAACAGCAGCAGUUAGGCACAACGGUACCACACGUGUGACUAUCAGAGAUGCUGUGCGGAAAGGUAGAAAGGAGAAGAUUACACAAGUACGGAGGAAGAUCUGCAGACUUGCCUGUACAGUGGCUUGUUGGUGUUAGUUUGGAUGUAGAGAGUCAAGGAGACAGUGUUGGGUAUAUGGCAGAACACAAACUGCUGAAAAAUAAAAUGUGCUGCAGAACUGGAAUCUCGUUAGUCUCUGCUUAAUGUUUAGCCUUUCACUCGCAAGCUGGGAGAGAUGGCAGUUCGUGUAGGAAACACCAUGUCUCUGCCAGGCUGUGCACAACAGGGGUAAUCAAACAGUCUGCAAGCACUGCACACACAUGCACUUGUCCAUGCCAAGACCAAAAAAAAAGCGUUUUGGGGGCACAAACAUACAAGCAGCUGCUGCAGCAAUCUGAGGUGCUGUUGU